GCUAGGAUGUUUCCCACACAUCCAGCACAUCUGCACAGCACAGCUCAGAGCUUUGGGUGUGACACCCAUAUUCAGACUCAGGUGCUGUACACGGGUGAAGCUGAUCAAUCCCAAGGCAUGAAGAAAGCAGCAAGAGAUAAAAGACUUCCUUGGUAUCCUGUUGUAUGUGGAAUGGGUGAACACCGAAGCAUUCCUGAAGCUUUGUCCAUAGGAGCUAUGCACAGUGCAUGGAAACUGAGAGUUUAUUUCUGUGGUAUUCUUGAUACUCUGAAACAUUUCUGUGACGUACAGGAGGAGUAUGAAAUACUUGCUGUGGAAUGGAAAGUUAAUGACUUCGCUUUGACCUAUUGUUUAUAGCUGUUACCAAUAUGGAAUACUUCAUUAAGAAUUUCAGGUCCAUGUAUGUGACUGUAUUCUUUCUUACUGUAUAUGAAAUACACUCCUCAACUAGGUGAGGUAUCUAAACAUCCUAGAACCUGAAAAGUUCCAGCAAAAAUUAAGAUAAUUAAAAGGGAAACACUGAUUUUAUUGGCACCAAGCAGGUGCAAAUCAACAAAAUGUGAUAAAGAUCAUGCCUGAAUGAAUUUAUAGAGGCUUGGAGGUUUGGGAAACUGCCUGUUCAGAAUCAUAAUGCAGCUACAGAACUUUACAUUCUCUUGUGACUUACAUCAUUAUUCAAACACAUGUCAAGAUAUGAAGCAUUAAAUUUUAGAAAAUGAAAUUACCAACAUAAUUAAAAGUACAUCGGUGAACUCUAAACCAUCAGCCACUUAAAGCCUUUAGUAUAUUUUUACUUUGCAAACACGUGAGAUUAUCAAAUUUAGAAAUUAAAUUUCAAUGAAUUUUCCUUCAGAGUUUUAAUGUAUCCAUGAGAAAGUUAAGCUCUUGAAGCUAAAAUUUCAAGCAAGCCCAUGGAAAUGUUGCAAGUAAAGCAAUUUAUAAUUUCUUAUUCCUUUAAGCACAGAAAUUUUGAAAUAAAGUAAAAUUCAUAUACAUGGGAGGUAUGCCUCAAUGUUUCAUAAAAUGAUACAGAUCACUGAGACAAAAGCAAAAUGUUGCCAUGUGUAUUCUGCUGCUCAAAAAAUGCAGCAAAACACAGUCACUGUCCCUGGGGGAGAGUGUGAGAGUGAGAAUACAAGGAGAAACUGUAAGCAUGUAAGUGGAUACAUUUCUCUCGGAUUGCUUUUUAUUAUCUGGAUGAAACAGAGAUGUGUUAAAAAUAGAAGCACAGUUACCAAACUGACAUAGUUUUGUUUAAAAAAG
ensembl:lncRNA